rnacentral:rRNA from 1 species
AGAAGUUUUGAAUCAUGGCUCAGAAACGAACGUUGGCGGCGUGGAUUAGGCAUGCAAGUCGAACGAAUCCCUGAGGGCUUGCUUUCAGGGGGAAGUGGCGAAAGGGGCAGUAAGGCGUGGGUAACCUACCCUGGGGUCCGGCAUAGCCGUCCUAACGGACGGGUAAUUCCGGGCGACGUAACGCGGUCGCCUGACCGUGUUACCAAAGGUUUACCGCCCUGGGAGGGGCCCACGUGGUAUUAGCUUGUUGGCGAGGUAACGGCUCACCAAGGCCAAGAUGCCUAGCGGGUGUGAGAGCACGACCCGCGCCACUGGCACUGAGACACUGGCCAGACUCCUACGGGAGGCUGCAGUCGAGGAUCUUCGGCAAUGGGCGCAAGCCUGACCGAGCGACGCCGCGUGUGCGAUGAAGGCCUUCGGGUUGUAAAGCACUGUCGAGGGGGAGGAAAGCCCGCAAGGGUCUGACCUAUCUCUGGAGGAAGCACGGGCUAAGUUCGUGCCAGCAGCCGCGGUAAGACGAACCGUGCGAACGUUGUUCGGAUUCACUGGGCUUAAAGGGCGCGUAGGCGGGUUCUCAAGUCCGGGGUGAAAUCCUCUCGCUUAACGAGAGAACUGCCCCGGAUACUGGGAAUCUCGAGGGAGGUAGGGGCAUGUGGAACUUCCGGUGGAGCGGUGAAAUGCGUAGAUAUCGGAAGGAACGCCGGUGGCGAAAGCGACGUGCUGGACCUCAUCUGACGCUGAGGCGCGAAAGCCAGGGGAGCAAACGGGAUUAGAUACCCCGGUAGUCCUGGCCCUAAACGAUGGGUACUAGAUUGGAGACUGACAUGGGUUUCCAAUCGAAGCUAAAGUGUUAAGUACCCCGCCUGGGGAGUAUGGUCGCAAGGCUGAAACUCAAAGGAAUUGACGGGGGCUCACACAAGCGGUGGAGCAUGUGGCUUAAUUCGAGGCUACGCGAAGAACCUUAUCCUGGGCUUGACAUGUCCGAAAGGGGUAGGAAGUAGCGUGCGGAAACGUUACGCCAACGGUAUCCAGUCCGGAACCUACUACAGGUGCUGCAUGGCUGUCGUCAGCUCGUGUCGUGAGAUGUCGGGUUAAGUCCCAUAACGAGCGAAACCCUUAUUUCCAGUUGCCAGCGGGUCAUGCCGGGGACUCUGGAGAGACUGCCGGUGUUAAACCGGAGGAAGGUGGGGAUGACGUCAAGUCCUCAUGGCCUUUAUGCCCAGGGCUGCACACGUGCUACAAUGCCGCGUACAAAGGGAAGCCAACGCGCAAGCGGGAGCCAAUCCCAAAAAACGCGGCCCAGUUCAGAUUGAAGGCUGCAACUCGCCUUCAUGAAGUUGGAAUCGCUAGUAAUCGCAGGUCAGCAACACUGCGGUGAAUGUGUUCCUGAGCCUUGUACACACCGCCCGUCGAGCCACGAAAGGGAGGGACGGCCGAAGUCGCCGUUACAAGCGCCGACGCCGGACUUUCUGAUUGGGACUAAGUCGUAACAAGGUAACCGUA